rnacentral:tRNA from 1 species
GGCCCCGUCGUCUAGCGGUUUAGGACGCUGCCCUCUCAAGGCGGAGAUCGCCAGUUCGAAUCUGGUCGGGGCUACCA